rnacentral:rRNA from 1 species
GUGGGGAAUAUUGGACAAUGGGCGAAAGCCUGAUCCAGCCAUGCCGCGUGUGUGAAGAAGGUCUUCGGAUUGUAAAGCACUUUAAGUUGGGAGGAAGGGCAGUAAGUUAAUACCUUGCUGUUUUGACGUUACCGACAGAAUAAGCACCGGCUAACUUCGUGCCAGCAGCCGCGGUAAUACGAAGGGUGCAAGCGUUAAUCGGAAUUACUAGGCGUAAAGCGCGCGUAGGUGGUUUUGUAAGUUGGAGGUGAAAUCCCCGGGCUCAACCUGGGAACUGCCUCCAAAACUGCAUGACUAGAGUACGGUAGAGGGUAGUGGAAUUUCCUGUGUAGCGGUGAAAUGCGUAGAUAUAGGAAGGAACACCAGUGGCGAAGGCGACUACCUGGACUGAUACUGACACUGAGGUGCGAAAGCGUGGGGAGCAAACAGGAUUAGAUACCCGUGUAGUCC